UACGUAGGGUGCGAGCGUUAAUCGGAAUUACUGGGCGUAAAGCGUGCGCAGGCGGCUUUGCAAGACAGAUGUGAAAUCCCCGGGCUUAACCUGGGAACUGCAUUUGUGACUGCAUGGCUGGAGUGCGGCAGAGGGGGAUGGAAUUCCGCGUGUAGCAGUGAAAUGCGUAGAUAUGCGGAGGAACACCAGUGGCGAAGGCGACUUCCUGGCCUGUUCUUGACGCUGAGGCGCGAAAGCUAGGGUAGCAAACGGG
rnacentral:rRNA from 1 species